CCAAGGAGUCUAACAUGUACGCAAGUCUCACGGUCUUGUUUAGGCCUGUGGGGCGAAAUGAAAGUAAAGAGUGUGAUCUCGCAAACGGCUGUAGUGGCUGUUGUGAGCGCAACACUAACCCGCUCGAUUUGCCUUUUGACAAACGGACGGAGUCGGAGCGUACACGUUGGUACCCGAAAGAUGGUGAACUAUGCUUGGGCAAGACGAAGCCAGAGGAAACUCUGGUGGAGGUCUGUAGCGAUUCUGACGUGCAAAUCGAUCGUCAGACCUGAGUAUAGGGGCGAAAGACUAAUCGAACCAUC
rnacentral:rRNA from 1 species